CUUGAGAGCGGCGUACGGGUGCGGAACACGUGUGCAACCUGCCUUUAUCUGGGGGAUAGCCUUUCGAAAGGAAGAUUAAUACCCCAUAAUAUUUAGAAUGGCAUCAUUUUAAAUUGAAAACUCCGGUGGAUAGAGAUGGGCACGCGCAAGAUUAGAUAGUUGGUGAGGUAACGGCUCACCAAGUCUACGAUCUUUAGGGGGCCUGAGAGGGUGAUCCCCCACACUGGUACUGAGACACGGACCAGACUCCUACGGGAGGCAGCAGUGAGGAAUAUUGGACAAUGGGUGAGAGCCUGAUCCAGCCAUCCCGCGUGAAGGACGACGGCCCUAUGGGUUGUAAACUUCUUUUGUAUAGGGAUAAACCUAGAUACGUGUAUCUAGCUGAAGGUACUAUACGAAUAAGCACCGGCUAACUCCGUGCCAGCAGCCGCGGUAAUACGGAGGGUGCAAGCGUUAUCCGGAUUUAUUGGGUUUAAAGGGUCCGUAGGCGGAUCUGUAAGUCAGUGGUGAAAUCUCACAGCUUAACUGUGAAACUGCCAUUGAUACUGCAGGUCUUGAGUGUUGUUGAAGUAGCUGGAAUAAGUAGUGUAGCGGUGAAAUGCAUAGAUAUUACUUAGAACACCAAUUGCGAAGGCAGGUUACUAAGCAACAACUGACGCUGAUGGACGAAAGCGUGGGGAGCGAACAGGAUUAGAUACCCUGGUAGUCCACGCCGUAAACGAUGCUAACUCGUUUUUGGGCUUUCGGGUUCAGAGACUAAGCGAAAGUGAUAAGUUAGCCACCUGGGGAGUACGUUCGCAAGAAUGAAACUCAAAGGAAUUGACGGGGGCCCGCACAAGCGGUGGAUUAUGUGGUUUAAUUCGAUGAUACGCGAGGAACCUUACCAAGGCUUAAAUGGGAAAUGACAGGUUUAGAAAUAGACUUUUCUUCGGACAUUUUUCAAGGUGCUGCAUGGUUGUCGUCAGCUCGUGCCGUGAGGUGUUAGGUUAAGUCCUGCAACGAGCGCAACCCCUGUCACUAGUUGCCAUCAUUAAGUUGGGGACUCUAGUGAGACUGCCUACGCAAGUAGAGAGGAAGGUGGGGAUGACGUCAAAUCAUCACGGCCCUUACGCCUUGGGCCACACACGUAAUACAAUGGCCAGUACAGAGGGCAGCUACACAGCGAUGUGAUGCAAAUCUCGAAAGCUGGUCUCAGUUCGGAUUGGAGUCUGCAACUCGACUCUAUGAAGCUGGAAUCGCUAGUAAUCGCGCAUCAGCCAUGGCGCGGUGAAUACGUUCCCGGGCCUUGUACACACCGCCCGUCAAGCCAUGGAAGUCUGGGGU
rnacentral:rRNA from 1 species